rnacentral:rRNA from 1 species
UAUAAUGCAGUCGAGCGAACAGAUAAGGAGCUUGCUCCUUUGACGUUAGCGGCGGACGGGUGAGUAACACGUGGGUAACCUACCUAUAAGACUGGAAUAACUCCGGGAAACCGGGGCUAAUGCCGGAUAACAUUUAGAACCGCAUGGUUCUAAAGUGAAAGAUGGUUUUGCUAUCACUUAUAGAUGGACCCGCGCCGUAUUAGCUAGUUGGUAAGGUAACGGCUUACCAAGGCAACGAUACGUAGCCGACCUGAGAGGGUGAUCGGCCACACUGGAACUGAGACACGGUCCAGACUCCUACGGGAGGCAGCAGUAGGGAAUCUUCCGCAAUGGGCGAAAGCCUGACGGAGCAACGCCGCGUGAGUGAUGAAGGGUUUCGGCUCGUAAAACUCUGUUAUUAGGGAAGAACAAACGUGUAAGUAACUGUGCACGUCUUGACGGUACCUAAUCAGAAAGCCACGGCUAACUACGUGCCAGCAGCCGCGGUAAUACGUAGGUGGCAAGCGUUAUCCGGAAUUAUUGGGCGUAAAGCGCGCGUAGGCGGUUUCUUAAGUCUGAUGUGAAAGCCCACGGCUCAACCGUGGAGGGUCAUUGGAAACUGGGAGACUUGAGUGCAGAAGAGGAAAGUGGAAUUCCAUGUGUAGCGGUGAAAUGCGCAGAGAUAUGGAGGAACACCAGUGGCGAAGGCGACUUUCUGGUCUGUAACUGACGCUGAUGUGCGAAAGCGUGGGGAUCAAACAGGAUUAGAUACCCUGGUAGUCCACGCCGUAAACGAUGAGUGCUAAGUG